rnacentral:rRNA from 1 species
GCUCCUACGGGGGGCAGCAGUGGGGAAUAUUGCACAAUGGGCGAAAGCCUGAUGCAGCAACGCCGCGUGAAGGAAGAAGGGUUUCGGCUCGUAAACUUCUAUCAACAGGGACGAAAGAAAUGACGGUACCUGAAUAAGAAGCCCCGGCUAACUACGUGCCAGCAGCCGCGGUAAUACGUAGGGGGCAAGCGUUAUCCGGAAUUACUGGGUGUAAAGGGAGCGUAGGCGGCAAGGCAAGUCUGAUGUGAAAACCCAGGGCCCAACCCUGGGACUGCAUUGGAAACUGUAUUGCUUGAGUACCGGAG